rnacentral:rRNA from 1 species
GACGAACGCUGGCGGCGUGCUUAACACAUGCAAGUCGAACGGAAAGGCCCUGCUUUUGUGGGGUGCUCGAGUGGCGAACGGGUAAGUAACACGUGAGUAACCUGCCCUUGACUUUGGGAUAACUUAAGGAAACUGGGGCUAUUACCGGAUAGGAGCUCCUGCUGCAUGGUGGGGGUUGGAAAGUUUCGGCGGUUGGUGAUGGACUCGCGGCUUAUCAGCUUGUCGGUGGGGUAGUGGCUUACCAAGGCUUUGACCGGUAGCCGGCCUGAGAGGCUGACCGGCCACAUUGGGACUGAGAUGCGGCCCAGACUCCUACGGGAGGCAGGGGUGGGGAAUAUUACACAAGGGGCGGAAGCAUGAUGCAGCAACGCCGCGUGGGGGGUGACGGCCUUCGGGUUGUAUAGCGCUUUCGCCUGUGACGAAGCGUGAGUGACGGUAAUGGGUAAAGAAGCACCGGCUAACUACGUG